UUGGACUUUAGGACUUAAUUGACAGUUGUAAUUGUCUAUCUUAUCGAAAAUGUCAAAUAGAAUGGACAUUUUAGACAAGAGAGGAGCAUGACCAAUAGAGGUGAAGCAAUGAAGGAGAGUAGCGACAAUCAUAGCAAAGAGGGUGAAGUGAUUUCCAUUGAAGCCAUAGAUGACGAGGAUGAAGAGAUCAACAAAUGUAACUGUGUGGGGACUCCCGCAAUGUUAAGGUUGGAGGAACUUUUGAUGAGGGUGAUCGAUUAAUAAGAUAAAAAUGUGAGCUAGUUGUCAUUUUAGAGAACUGGAAAAACUGGUCCACAUAAUUAUGUAAAACACAUAAUUAUAUUUUACAGUAUAGCAAAUUUCUAAUUCAAAGGAAAAUAUACCGAGUAUGGUAGUCUACAUAAAUUGCUUGGAAUGCCACAACCCCACAUAAGUGAUAGAGACCCAAUGUUAUUGGUCCUUUUGCAAGGGAUAAUAUUGAAAAUGGAUUCUUCUUACCAUCCAGAGACCAACAGACGAAUGAAAAUUGUCAAUUGAUGUUUGGAAGCAUAUUCGCAUUGUUCUGCGUCAUUCCUGAAACUAGUCUUAUUGGAUAUCAUGGACUGAGUUUUAGUAUAAUAUCACAUUUCAUGUGUCAACAAGAACCACUCAUUUUGAGACGAUUUAUGGACAAAAGCCACCAACCUUAAUACAAUUCCUACAAGGAAAAACAAAAGUAGAAGUUGUUGCAACAGAGCUGGUUGACAUGGUCAACUCAAACUUCAUCUCACCAAAGCUCACGAACAAAUGAUAAGGUAUGCAUAUAAGAAGAGAAGAGAUGUAAGCUUUGAAGUAGGAGAAUGGGUAUUCUUGAAGUUAGGCUACACAGUUGGCAGUGUCAUUACAAUCUCAUUGACAAAAUCAACGACAUUGCAAUUAUUUUCAAUUGGCUGAAGAACAUGUAUAACAAAUUAAAGAGUUGAAGAAAGUUGCUAGGCUACAUUGGGUGCAAAGUGGUGAAAUAAAUAGGGUAAAGACAUUAGCUUGUACUAAUCUUGCCUAUGACUACUGCACUGUUAAUGUUAUUUUCUCCCAUUUGAGGGCAUAUUAACCAAAUUGCAUUUACAUGACAUUUAUGAUUCA